UAGGGAAUCUUCCACAAUGGACGCAAGUCUGAUGGAGCAACGCCGCGUGAGUGAAGAAGGUUUUCGGACCGUAAAGCUCUGUUGUUGGUGAAGAAGGAUAGAGGUAGUAACUGGCCUUUAUUUGACGGUAAUCAACCAGAAAGUCACGGCUAACUACGUGCCAGCAGCCGCGGUAAUACGUAGGUGGCAAGCGUUGUCCGGAUUUAUUGGGCGUAAAGCGAGCGCAGGCGGAAGAAUAAGUCUGAUGUGAAAGCCCUCGGCUUAACCGAGGAAUUGCAUCGGAAACUGUUUUCUUGAGUGCAGAAGAGGAGAGUAGAACUCCAUGUGUAGCGGUGGAAUGCGUAGAUAUAUGGAAGAAUACCAGUGGCGAAGGCGGCUCUCUGGUCUGCAAUUGACGCUGAGGCUCGAAAGCAUGGGUAGCGAACAGGAUUAGAUACCCUGGUAGUCCAUGCCGUAAACGAUGAGUGCUAAGUGUUGGGAGGCUUCCGCCUCUCAGUGCUGCAGCUAACGCAUUAAGCACUCCGCCUGGGGAGUACGACCGCAAGGUUGAAAC
rnacentral:rRNA from 1 species